rnacentral:lncRNA from 1 species
UUAAAACCUCAGUUUAGUCCCAUUUUGAUUUUGGAGUGAAACAUCAUUCGGUCCGUGUCCGUGCUGCGGACAGAGCCUGGGAAGGGAUCCGGGACCGUGUGGGGGACGGAUGGACAUCGUGAAAGUGGAACCGGAUUCAUGGGACCCGGAACCUGCACCGACCGAACAACCAGAACUGCUGGACAAGAUGAAGAUAGAAGCUGAAGUUUUAAAUGAUUUGAAGACAAAAGAACUCUUGAACAUCAUUGAGGUUGAACCUGGAGCUCUGAAGGCCAUCAAUAAAAAAGGUUUUGAUUCGAUGAAGAGAGAACCUGAAGCUUUGGAAGAUGGUCAUGUAAAAGAAAUUUUGAACCCAUUGAAGGUGGAACUUGAAGAUUUAGAUGCUGUGGCUGCAAAAGGGAAACAAAUGGAGCUUUGCCAGACGAAUCUCAACGCACUGUUCCAAGAGGAUUGUUUUGUGCAAGUCCAACACGAUAUAUACACAGAAAAGCGUUUGAGAGACAAGAAGUUCAAGUGCCGUCGUUGUUCUUUGAGUUUUGAUCACAAGAGUGAAAAACUGCUGGACAAGAUGAAGGUGGAAACUGGAGAUUUAAUUGACUUGGAGACAAAAGGUACUCUGUACCCGCUGUCUGCUGGCAGGCUGAACCCACACUCCAUGGGUGCUCCAACUGGGUGCCCUCACAUCCACGCACCAUAUGUGAGCCAAACCUACACUUCAUGGGCACGCCGACCCCACACUCCGUGGACAGUAAGCGCACCUCCAUCUCCUGAAUGAUCUCCUUUCUGCUCAGCUGGUGAGAGCUGGCACCGUGCGACCAUAAUGAAGCUCAUGGUCUUUGCUUUCCUUAAAUUUAAUGCCACUGUCUGCUUUUGGUGUAUUUCCUUAUUUAUGGAAUAUAUCCUCAUUUUUUUCUUGAAAUUUUGCUUCCAAGUUAGUAAUAAUUUGGCUCUGCUGUCCUCCAUUUUUGCAAAUUUCCCCGUGUUGCUAUUUGGGUUUUCAUUUGGACGAAAAAUAUAACAGAACACGAUGGAUCUGGUCUGGGAAACUUAGCAUUAAGGAAGAGGAAGGAGCAGCUACAGAUUCAACCUGUAUGUGGAGCAAACCCCGAACCAGAAGUCUUAAAACCUAAAAAUAGGAGCAAUACCCCUGGGUGCUCACCGAGUAGUGGCUGGAUAAGAAAACCCAGGAACUACUGGUAGGCGUGGAUGACCCACAAAAUGUGUAACGGAAAAGAAAGUAAAUACCUAUGGAUUUUUUGAAAUGCCAUGAACAAACUUUGGUACAUCACGGGUGAUGAAGGUUGUGGUCAAGUUUCAUUGAAAUUGGGUGUGUGGUUUUGGAGAAGAAAGCAAAUUCACAUUUUGGAGGACAACCCUCAUCGAGAACCCAAUUUUUUUAAUGUCGUGAACAAACUUUGGUACAUUACAUUUGGUGAAGGUUGUGGUCAAGUUUCAUCGAAAUUAGGUAUGUGGUUUCGGAGAAGUAAGCAAAUACACAUUUUGGAAGACAACCCUCAUCGAGAACCCAAUUUUUUUAAUGGCGUGAACAAACUUUGGUACAUUACAGAUGGUGAAGGUUGUGGUCAAGUUUCAUCGAAAUUGGGUGUGUGGUUUUGGAGAAGAAAGCAAAUUCACAUUUUGGAGGACAACCCUCAUCGAGAACCCAAUUUUUUUAAUGUCGUGAACAAACUUUGGUACAUUACAGAUGGUGAAGGUUGUGGUCAAGUUUCAUUGAAAUUGGGUGUGUGGUUUUGGAGAAGAAAGCAAAUUCACAUUUUGGAGGACAACCCUCAUCGAGAACCCAAUUUUUUUAAUGUUAUGAACAAACUUUAGUACAUCACGGGUGAUGAAGCUUGUGGUCAACUUUUAUCAGAAUUGUGUUUGUAGUUUUGGAGAAGAAAGCAAAUACCUCUUUUGGGGGGAAACCUCCUCAUAGACCCCUUUAUACCACAAAUUUUUUUUAAUGGUGUAAGGAAACUUUGGUACAUCACAGGUUGUGAAAGUUGUGGUUAAGUUUCAUUGAAAUUGUGUGUGUAGUUUCGGAGAAGAAAGCAAAUAUAUAUUUUGGGGGUCAUGCAACCCCCCCACCCCCCAUACCACCUUAGACCCUGAUUUUUUUAAUUUAUCUUUCUUUUAUGUCAUGAACAAACUUUGGUACAUCCAUCAUGGGUGAUAAAGGUUGUGAUCAAGUUUAAUCGGAAUUGCAUGUGUAGUUUCUGAGAAGAAAGAAAAUACCUGUUUUGGUGUGCAACUCCCUCAUAGCCCCCUUAUGGCCCGAGUUUUUUCAUUGCCAUGAAUAAACUUUGGUACAUUCCAGGUGAUGUAGAUUGUAGUAAAGUUUCACCAAAACUGUAUGUGUAGUUUCAGAGAAGAAGUUGCAAAUGUUUGUGGACGGACAGACUGACCGACGGACGAUGCACCAUCCCAUAAGCUCCUUGGAACGACGUAACAGGUGAGCUAAAAAAUGAAUUAAGUCGUUUUGAGAGGGUCUAUCAACGUAAAAAUAAAUGAGCAGUUUUUAGAAGGCUGGGUGUU